UACAGAGGUCCCAAGCGUUGUUCGGAUUCACUGGGCGUAAAGGGUGCGUAGGUGGUAAGGUAAGUCUGAUGUGAAAGCUCGGAGCUCAACUCCGAAAUGGCAUUGGAAACUACCUUGCUUGAGGGUUGGAGGGGGGACUGGAAUACUUGGUGUAGCAGUGAAAUGCGUAGAUAUCAAGUGGAACACCAGUGGCGAAGGCGAGUCCCUGGACAAUUCCUGACACUGAGGCACGAAAGCUAGGGGAGCAAACGGG
rnacentral:rRNA from 1 species